UUGAGUAAAGCUUAUGCAUAUCACUGUUAAUGAUAAUCUUCCCCCUACUCAAA
rnacentral:tRNA from 1 species